AAAGCAGCCAGAUACAAUCAGAACCAUCAAUCUGGAGGUGAGCACCUCUCACCACAGCUAUUUAUACAGAUCCCUGCAGAUUAUACUGCAGAAACAUUUUUAAAGUUUCUGCACCUGUUCUUUAAAAUGCUUACAUGUAUUUUUUUUGUUUGUUUUACGGAUUCCAGCAGGAAAAUAAGCUUUUUAAACUGUUAGUUUUAGCAACAGAGAACAAUGCAGACAUGUGGCAAGGAAGCAAAAGCAACAUCAACCUGAUUGUACAGCUGCAACUAGCAAUUAUUUUAGUAAUCAGUUAAUCUAUUGCUUAUUUUGACAAUUAGAUGAAAAAAAACGGACACAUUCUGCAGAUUUUUACACAAUAUUAGAAAUACCUAAGAACUAAAAAUAAAUUGUAAUAAAUUCAAUUUCUUUUUGAAAUCAGAAAAACAUUUUACUGUCUAAAAUGCAAGACCAUAUGCAUUACUUUAUUGUAAGCUUGAUUGUUUGUUGCAAAGGAUACAUAAAAAGCCAAAAAAAA